ensembl:lncRNA
GUCCAGCUCUUAAUCUUUGAACAGCAUCAAAUAUUCAUUGCUGUUUGACAAAGCUGGGGCUGGAGGGUCCAGCGUUUUCUAAAACAGAUCUUGCUUUACCAUUGGUGAUCCAGUGAGCCUUUCAGCAAGGCUGACUGUAAAUCAUCCAGGCUCAAUUAGUGUAUUUCAAAGAAAUACCCAGGUGUUGUUUGACCUUCAAACAUAUGGACUGCUGGAAUAAAUGAAAGUCUCGCCUGUUCCCAUCGUGCCGAGGGAACUAGAUGGGGUAAUUCUUUUUCCUAGUCUCUGAGUUUUGUGGAGGGAUUAUUAGGUUUGGGCUCAGUGAGUUAUUUACUUUAGCAAUAUGCUCAGUGGUGGGCUGCAGUUGCCUUUGCUGAGGGAAUUGCCAGGUGUGAGCUGUCACCAAGUACCACUAGAAUGGUGGAGGGGCGUGGGGAACCACUGGGCCAUGGAGGUGGGGCCUGAGCUCUGAGGCUUGAAGGGGACAGCCUGGGGUACAAUCGGAAGCAAUAAGAAAAUGGGAGCAGUGUUUCAUGAAAUACAAGUGAUCUCAUAGAUUGUUAUAAGAACUUAUGAUAAAUGCUUCCUACGGUGCCUGUCCCAGAAUAAGGAAUCAGAAGAUAAAGAGCAUUAAUUUCCUUAAAUCCCUAGAGCUAGUGAGCUGGAGACCUAGGUAGGCCCAGCUCCCAAUUCCAUUCUCUUUCCAUUGUCAUGGUGGAUCCGUUGCCAACCCAUGUUAGAGCAACCAACUUUGUUGUGAAUCUGGCAGGCUCUUUUGACUUAUCUAUUUGUUCAAGUAACUGAAAUAACCAGCAAAUGUUAAGGAUUAUAUAGAAGCAUUACUUAUGACACAGUUACCCACAUGCAAGUAUGGUCAAGUCUAUGCUCCUUCCCUGCCGUCCAAUGAACAUCUUUGAAUUGGGAGAAAAUCUCAAUACAGUCAUCUUGUGACUCUUUUUAAAAAAGUAUUCCUUUAUUUAUUUCUGUAUUUUUAGAAAUCUUAGACUAUAGAGAAAAGAUCUACAAUGUUGUUCAAUUCAGAUUCUGAAUGUUCAGUGUUAGGAUGAAGA